GAGUUUGAUCAUGGCUCAGGAUGAACGCUAGCGACAGGCUUAACACAUGCAAGUCGAGGGGCAGCGGUGGUGAAGGCUUGCCUUUACCAGCCGGCGACCGGCGCACGGGUGAGUAACACGUAUGCAACCUGCCUGCCACAGCCGGAUAAUCGGGAGAAAUUUCGUCUAAUACGGCAUAAUGCAUCGACGGGACAUCCUGUUGGUGCCAAAGGUUAAUUCCGGUGGCGGAUGGGCAUGCGUUGCAUUAGUUAGUUGGCGGUGUAACGGACCACCAAGACGACGAUGCGUAGGGGUUCUGAGAGGAAGGUCCCCCACACUGGUACUGAGACACGGACCAGACUCCUACGGGAGGCAGCAGUGAGGAAUAUUGGUCAAUGGGCGGGAGCCUGAACCAGCCAAGUCGCGUGAGGGAUGACGGCCCUAUGGGUUGUAAACCUCUUUUGCCGGGGAGCAAAGUGCCGCACGUGUGCGGUUUGGAGAGUACCCGGAGAAAAAGCAUCGGCUAACUCCGUGCCAGCAGCCGCGGUAAUACGGAGGAUGCGAGCGUUAUCCGGAUUUAUUGGGUUUAAAGGGUGCGUAGGCGGACGCUUAAGUCAGCGGUAAAAUUGCGGGGCUCAACCUCGUCGAGCCGUUGAAACUGGGUGCCUUGAGUGGGCGAGAAGUACGCGGAAUGCGUGGUGUAGCGGUGAAAUGCAUAGAUAUCACGCAGAACUCCGAUUGCGAAGGCAGCGUACCGGCGCCCAACUGACGCUGAAGCACGAAGGCGUGGGUAUCGAACAGGAUUAGAUACCCUGGUAGUCCACGCGGUAAACGAUGAAUGCUAGUUGUCCGGGGCGAUUGAGUUCUGGGUGACACAGCGAAAGCGUUAAGCAUUCCACCUGGGGAGUACGCCGGCAACGGUGAAACUCAAAGGAAUUGACGG
rnacentral:rRNA from 1 species